GUCUUCUUUUUUCUUCAUUAUAUUCUUCAUCUUAAAAAAUAUGAAAAAAUUAGAUAAAACUCAAAAGUUAAAAAUUAUUUACUAAUAAUAUCUUUUACACUCAUAAAUAUAAAAGUUUUAGUUAAAAGUUGUUAAUUUAAUUUUAAAAGGACCUCAUGAAAAAUAUAAAUUUUAAAUGAAGCAUUUAGUAUUUUUUUAAAAAUUAUUUUAAAUAAACAAUCCCACUAUAUAUAGAUUUUUAGAUUUUAUUAGAAAUAUUAAUUAUUUUUGUUGGUAAGCGUGAUUAUUAUAGAUUUAAGUAUUUAUUGAAUAAUUGGUAAGCGUGAUUGUUAUUAGUUUAAAUAUUUAUCAGAUAGGUUAAACAAAAUAUAAUGAAUAUAACAUAAAUUUGGUGAAUUAAUUGAAGACAAUUUGUGAUAUGACAAUUCAUUUAAAAAAAAAAAUAGUGUCUUGACAAUAUAAAAUAGUGUUCAUGUUGUAAAAAAUUUAAAAAUGACAUGAAUUUGACACAAUAAUGAAAUGAAGCCCAUUAUUUAUGUAUGAAGUUGCAGAUAACAUUAUAUAAAAUAAAUACAGAAAGAAAAAAAGAAGAAAAAAAUAAAUGCAAAAUGAUUAAAUUUAUUUUUAUAUAAUUGAAUAAUAGAUAAAUAAUAGUCUAUAAAAAUUAAUAAAAGUCUAUCAAUAUCCAUAAAAGUAAAAUUUGUGAAAGUUAUUCAUAAAAUCAUGAACUCUGAAAAUAGUUAAAAAUUCAUAAAUUUCUUAAAAAUAAUUCAAAAAAUUCAUUUUAAAAAGUCUAUAAAAAUUAUUAGAAAUAUUAAUUGAAUACACCUUUUUUAGUUUUUUUUACUAGUCAUACUUUAUUUUUAAAAUAUAGUUAAUUAAUAAUUAAAAUUAGCUAAUAUUAUUUAAAUAUUUAGAUUAAUAAAUAGUUUGAAACUUCUAUGUAUUGAAACUUGG
rnacentral:lncRNA from 1 species